GAUCUCAGCUCAAGCAAGACUACCCGCUGAAUUUAAGCAUAUUAAUAAGCGGAGGAAAAGAAAAUAACAAUGAUUCCCUC
rnacentral:rRNA from 1 species